rnacentral:rRNA from 1 species
UACGAAGGGGGCUAGCGUUGCUCGGAAUUACUGGGCGUAAAGGGCGCGUAGGCGGACAGUUUAGUCAGAGGUGAAAGCCCAGGGCUCAACCUUGGAAUUGCCUUUGAUACUGGCUGUCUUGAGUUCGGGAGAGGUGAGUGGAAUGCCGAGUGUAGAGGUGAAAUUCGUAGAUAUUGGGAAGAACACCGGUGGCGAAGGCGGCUCACUGGCUCGUAACUGACGCUCAUGCACGACAGCGUGGGGAUCAAACAGG